rnacentral:rRNA from 1 species
GUGGGGAAUCUUGCGCAAUGGGCGAAAGCCUGACGCAGCCAUGCCGCGUGAAUGAUGAAGGUCUUAGGAUUGUAAAAUUCUUUCACCGGGGACGAUAAUGACGGUACCCGGAGAAGAAGCUCCGGCUAACUUCGUGCCAGCAACCGCGGUAAUACGAAGGGGGCUAGCGUUGCUCGGAAUUACUGGGCGUACAGGGCGCGUAGGCGGACAGCUUAGUCAGAGGUGAAAGCCCAGGGCUCAACCUUGGAAUUGCCUUUGAUACUGGCUGUCUUGAGUUUGGGAGAGGUGAGUGGAACUCCGAGUGUAGAGGUGAAAUUCGUAGAUAUUCGGAAGAACACCAGUGGCGAAGGCGACUCACUGGCCCAAUACUGACGCUGAGGCGCGAAAGCGUGGGGAGCAAACAGGAUUAGAUACCCGGGUAGUCC